rnacentral:rRNA from 1 species
AUUGAACGCUGGCGGCAGGCCUAACACAUGCAAGUCGAGCGGAUGAAGGGAGCUUGCUCCUGGAUUCAGCGGCGGACGGGUGAGUAAUGCCUAGGAAUCUGCCUGGUAGUGGGGGAUAACGUCCGGAAACGGGCGCUAAUACCGCAUACGUCCUGAGGGAGAAAGUGGGGGAUCUUCGGACCUCACGCUAUCAGAUGAGCCUAGGUCGGAUUAGCUAGUUGGUGGGGUAAAGGCCUACCAAGGCGACGAUCUGUAACUGGUCUGAGAGGAUGGUCAGUCACACUGGAACUGAGACACGGUCCAGACUCCUACGGGAGGCAGCAGUGGGGAAUAUUGGACAAUGGGCGAAAGCCUGAUCCAGCCAUGCCGCGUGUGUGAAGAAGGUCUUCGGAUUGUAAAGCACUUUAAGUUGGGAGGAAGGGCAGUAAGUUAAUACCUUGCUGUUUUGACGUUACCAACAGAAUAAGCACCGGCUAACUUCGUG